rnacentral:rRNA from 1 species
ACUCAAUAGAUACCCCGGUAGUCCACGCCGUAAACGAUGGAUGCUAGAUGUUUCCGGUAUUGACCCCGGAGGUGUCGUAGCUAAACGCGUUAAGCAUCCCGCCUGGGGAGUACGGCCGCAAGGCUAAAACUCAAAGGAAUUGACGGGGGCCCGGCACAAGCGGUGGAGCAUGUGGUUCAAAUUCGACGCAACGCGAAGAACCUUACCUGGGUUGGAACCCUCCAGAAGUCCGCAGAGAUGUGGAUGUGCCCGCAAGGGAGCUGGAUGUCCAGGUGCUGCAUGGCUGUCGUCAGCUCGUGUCGUGAGAUGUUGGGUUAAGUCCCGCAACGAGCGCAACCCUUGUCGUUAGUUGCCAGCGGUUCGGCCGGGCACUCUAACGAGACUGCCGGUGUUAAACCGGAGGAAGGUGGGGAUGACGUCAAGUCCUCAUGGCCCUUAUGCCCAGGGCUACACACGUGCUACAAUGGCCGGUACAAAGGGUCGCAAACCCGCGAGGGCCAGCUAAUCCCAAAAAAACCGGGCCUCAGUUCAGAUUGAAGUCUGCAACUCGACUUC